rnacentral:rRNA from 1 species
AAUUCAAUAUAAUUUGUUAAUAAAAGAAAAAACUUUUUUAGGGUUUGUGUAAGGUAAAUGAUAUGGUGGUGUUACAGUGUAUUGUUGCAGCCACGUGGUGUGUCUCUCAAAUUCAGUUAAAUAACCUUUAAUUAGUAUCGGGGUACUAGUACAGGAUUAUUGUAACUAUAAUUUGUAAAAUGUUUACGUUUAUAUUUAUUAAUAUAUUUUUAUAAGGGUGCCAGGCGAGAUAAAUUAACCCUUUUUUUGUGUUUAUAUUAAAAUAUAUGAAGUCUAUUGGGAAAGAUAAAUUUAAGGGAAUCCAUGAUCUAACCUUAUUAGGUUUAGAUUAACUUUUCAGUGUAUCAUUGUAGAUAUUUAUUUUGUUCCACAAACAUAGCUAAAUCUCAAUUAAUUAGUAUCGGGGUACUAAGGGAUUUGGAUUAGAGUAGCUAUAAUUCGUAAAAUGUUUACGUUUAUAUUUAUUAAUUAUUAUUUAUUAAGGUUGCCAAGCAAGAUGAUAAUCAUCAUCUUGGUUUGCUCCUUUAUAUUUAUUAAAAUUUAUAAGGGUGCCAGGCUAGAUGAUAAUCAUCAUCUUGGUUUGCUCCUUUAUAUUUAUUAAAAUUUAUAAGGGUGCCAGGCUAGAUGAUAAUCAUCAUCUUGGUUUGCUCCUUUACUUUUUUCUGGUAUUAUUAAUGUAAAUUAUAUCUAGAUUAUAAAUUAACGGUAAAUAUUAGGUUAAUUUUUGAUGGUGAAAUAGCUAAAAUUUAUUACGUAAUUAAUUUAAUAAAAUUUAUUUUAAAAACAAAGAUUAGACACCUUUCUAUUAUAAAUAUAAUUUAACUAGUUACAAAUUACAAGAUAUGGCGGUAAAUUAUAUUUAGAGAAACUUGCAUUUAAUAGAUACACCUCGUUUAAUCUAACUUAAGUUUAUUUAGUUUGUAUACCGUCAUUUUACUUUUUUUAAAUUAAAAUAUAUAAUAUUAAAGUAUAUUAUUAGAUUAAGGUGCAGCUUAUACUUAAGUCUAAAGUAAGUUGCUGUUAUUAAUAUUGAAGAAGUAAGAUUGGAUAAUUACUGAAUACGGAUUUAAAAGUAAGUUAUAAUUAGAUUAUUAUUUUUGAAUAAACAAAGUUUAUGUACAUAUUGCCCGUCAAUUUCAUAAGUUUUGAAAUAAGUCGUAACAAAGUAGAUUUAUCUAAAGAUGAAUCUAUAUU